rnacentral:rRNA from 1 species
UGCCAGCAGCCGCGGUAACACGGGGGGCGCAAGCGUUAUUCGGAAUUAUUGGGCGUAAAGGGCAGGUGGGCGGUUUUGUAUGUCGUUUGUGAAAGCCCUCAGCUCAACUGAGGAACUGCAAGGGAAACUGCAAGACUUGAGUCCGGGAGAGGGUAGUGGAAUUCCCAGUGUAGCGGUGAAAUGCGUAGAUAUUGGGAGGAACACCAGUGGCGAAGGCGGCUACCUGGACCGGUACUGACGCUGAUCUGCGAAAGCUAGGGGAGCAAACGGGAUUAGAUA